ensembl:lncRNA
CCAAAUGAUCCCCAAGUGACCCCAAAUGACCCCAAAGUCCCCAUAAACGACCCCAAAUGCACCCAAAGUGACCCAAAAUCCCCAAAAAUGACCCCAAAUGCCUCCAAAGUGACCCCAAAAGCCCCCAAAAUGACCCCCAAAAACCCCAAAAUCCCCAUAAAGGACCCCAAAGUGACCACAAAAGCCCCCAAAAUGACCCCAAAUGCCCCCAAAGUGACCCCAAAAGCCCCCAAAAUGAUCCCAAAAUCGCCUCACUGACCCCAAAUAACCCCAAAAUCCCCAUAAAGGACCCCAAAGUGACCCCAAAUGCCCCCAAAGUGACCCUAAAAUCCCAUAAAUGCCCCCAAAUGACCCCAAAUGAUCCCCAAGUGACCCCAAAUGACCCCAAAAUCCCCAUAAACGACCCCAAAUGCCCCCAAAGUGCCCCCAAAAGCCCCCAAAAUGACCCCAAAAUCGCCCCACUGACCCCAAAAAGCCCCCAAAAUGACCCCAAAGUGACCCCAAAUGCCCCCAAAAUGACCCCAAAAUCUCCCCAGUGACCCCAAAUAACCCCAAAAUCCCCAUAAAGGACCCCAAAGUGACCCCAAAUGCCCCCAAAAUGACCCCAAAAUCGCCCCACUGACCCCAAAAAGCCCCCAAAAUGACCCCAAAAUCCCCAGAAUUGACCCCAAAUAACACCAAAAUCCCCAUAAAGGACCCCCCAAAUGACCCCAAAUGCCCCCAAAGUGACCCUAAAAUCCCCAUAAAGGAGCCCAAAGUGACCCCAAAUGCCCCAAAAUGACCCCAAAAUCCCCAUAAAGGACCCCAGAAGAUCCCAAAGUGACCCCAAAAGCCCCAGAAAUGCCCUCAAAGUGACCCCAAAUGACCCCAAAAGCCCCCAAAAUGACCCCAAAAUCGCCCCACUGACCCCAAAUAACCCCAAAAUCCCCAUAAAGGACCCCAAAGUGACCCCAAAUGCCCCAAAAUGACCCCAAAAUCCCCAUAAAGGAUCCCAAAGUGUCCCCAAAUGCCCCCAAAGUGACCCUAAAAUCCCAUAAAUGCCCCCAAAGUGACCCCAAAAUCCCCAUAAAUGCCCCCAAAGUGACCCCAAAGUGACCCCAAAACCCCAUAAAUGCCCCCCAAAGUGACCCCAAAUGCCCCCAAAGUGACCCCAAAAUGCCCCCCAAAUGCCCCCAAAGUGACCCCAAAAUCCCCAUAAAUGCCCCCAAAGUGACCCCAAAUGACCCCAAAACCCCCAUAAAUGACCCCAUAAAUGCCCCCAAGAGUGACCCUAAAUGACCCCAAAUGACCCCAAAAUCCCCAUAAGUACCCCCAUAAAUGACCCCAAAUGCCCCCAAAGUGACCCCAAAUGAUCCCAAAUGACCCCAAAAUCCCCAUAAAUGACCCCAAAUGACCCCAAAAUUCCCAUAAAUGACCCCCAAAAUCCCCACAAAUGCCCCCCAAAGUGACCCCAAAUGACCCCAAAAUCCCCAUAAG